GGCUGUUCUGAGCUGCGUUUUACGUGACAAACACCAGGCCCGAGGAGAUUUGCUUUCAGAAGAAGCCCAAAUGACAGCAACUAAUGCGAUCACAGUGGUUGUCUCGCUCUGGCACACACACUCGCUCGGACACGCACACUCGCACAGCACAGCACAGCUGCAAGUGUGAGUUGGAAUGUUGAUUUCAUGAAAUUUUAAAAAUGGUCGAAUCGUAUAUCAUUAUCAGCGCCGCCCAGUAACUGUAGUGGAAAAUCUGGCAAGAAAUAUGUGGCCGCACGCUUUUCACACCACCAUUGCACUUACUUUAAUUGGAUUUUCGGCGUUGCACUAUGUAUUUCCGUCGAGUUUCUGCACCACUUCACACGCGCUUUAUUUACUUUUUUAUUGUAUUGUACUACUCCUUUGCUGGAACAUACGCACGCACAAAUGAAUCAGAUUGUAGUUAAGAGUCUAAGUAAUAUAUAGUAUUGCUUGCUAGUUAUUUGAGCAGUAUUUCCAAAGGCCACUGAAAUGCACUGUCGUUAAAUGUUUGAUUUAUUGUUAAUUUUCCAUAAGUUAACAAAUUUUUACAAAUCCGUCAGAUUCUUAACAAAAAUGGACGACGAUGCGUGCGUGACGAAGAUGCAGUGUGACCGCGGACUUAUCGAUACAAUGUACGGUCUGACCCUCAGAAAUAUACCGGAAUUUACGUCACGAAUUUCAAAAUAUACAGUAAAUACAGUGGCGAAUUAUUUGUGUACAAGAUCCAUCAUAUUCCUGGUUUUCGAUACCUACAUUUUUAUGUAAUUAUUAAAAACAACAACUGAAGUGGAAAUGUUCACGUUUCAAAAAUUUGUGUCGGUUUUUUUUUAAAGCCCCAUGGAGGCGCCAGUGUGGAAAACGUCCGUUAUCAACUUUUUGACAUAUUGAACAAUUUUUUUUUUUUAAUUUUGAUUUUUUUGGCAGACGAUCAGGAAUUCGAGUGGAUCACCAAAUAUUAUUGUGGCCUAAACGUCAUUUCUCCACGAUUUCUACAUUGGUGAAUUGCACAAGUAGGUGAGGCUAUAACUGGUCUUAAAAUAUACUGGAAAAUAUUAGGAAAUUUGCAAGGUCCAUCGUAUCCUUCAUCUGUGCAUAAAGAAAAGACCACAAUAUUACAAUUUAGUACCUUAAUUACUGUAUUUGGAUCAACAUAUGAUGAUGAUUGGAACUGCAUUUCCCAACCACUGAAAAUGUGAACCCACCGGGAAAUGUACGUGAUGUUCAUAUUUACUGUAACAGAUUCAGAAUGUUAUUCGGCGUAAAUUGGCCCUGGAUGGUAUACCAUUCAGGCUGAGCCACUUUAAUAGCCGAAAGCUGAAGACAUUUGGACAGUCCCUAUUGUGCAGAUGCCGCAACUAUUGUAUUGAUAAGUUAGUUUUAAUUUGUAUUUGAUAUACACCACAAAUAAUAUAUCCGUACGAACUUA